UCUUUUAUAGGUUAAGUUUAAACUGUUAGUUUGUGGAGCUAAAGAUUUAUUUUUUAUAAAGGA
rnacentral:tRNA from 1 species